rnacentral:misc_RNA from 1 species
GGAGGGAGAGAGAGGAAGGCGUGGAGAGAUGGAGAGGAGAGGAGGUGAGGAAAGGUGUGAGAAGAGGCGGAGUAGAGGGAGAAGGGGCAGCGAGGAGAGAGGGAUUCAUGGCUCUUCUUCCUCAGGAAGGGUGGAGUUUGGUAACGGCGUUGGGUUUCCUGGUUUUAAAGGGUUUAACGAAGAAGAAGAUAGAAUAAAAGGGUUAUAGAUAAUGCAG